CUGGUCUUGACAUCCACAGAACUUUCCAGAGAUGGAUUGGUGCCUUCGGGAACUGUGAGACAGGUGCUGCAUGGCUGUCGUCAGCUCGUGUUGUGAAAUGUUGGGUUAAGUCCCGCAACGAGCGCAACCCUUAUCCUUUGUUGCCAGCGGUUAGGCCGGGAACUCAAAGGAGACUGCCAGUGAUAAACUGGAGGAAGGUGGGGAUGACGUCAAGUCAUCAUGGCCCUUACGACCAGGGCUACACACGUGCUACAAUGGCAUAUACAAAGAGAAGCGACCUCGCGAGAGCAAGCGGACCUCAUAAAGUAUGUCGUAGUCCGGAUUGGAGUCUGCAACUCGACUCCAUGAAGUCGGAAUCGCUAGUAAUCGUAGAUCAG
rnacentral:rRNA from 1 species